rnacentral:tRNA from 1 species
GCGGGUAUAGUUCAGUGGUAGAACGCUAGCUUCCCAAGCUGGAUGUCGGGAGUUCGAGUCUCCCUACCCGCU